ACAUGCCUACAACAUAGCGUUAAUGCACUGAAUCCCAUUAGAACUCUACAGUUAAAUGCACUCAGGCUAGAGUAGUACUGGGAUGGGUGACUGCCUGGGAAGUCCUAGCAUUUUACAUGCC
rnacentral:rRNA from 1 species